AGUGGUUAAGCAGUCAUCUGCUAACUGAAAGGUUGGUGGUUCAAACCCACCAACCACUC
rnacentral:tRNA from 1 species